rnacentral:rRNA from 1 species
GAUGAACGCUAGCGGCAGGCUUAACACAUGCAAGUCGAGGGGUAUAGUUCUUCGGAACUAGAGACCGGCGCACGGGUGCGUAACGCGUAUGCAAUCUACCUUUUACAGGGGAAUAGCCCAGAGAAAUUUGGAUUAAUGCCCCAUAGUAUAGUUUAUUCGCAUGAGUAGAUUAUUAAAGUUCCAACGGUAAAAGAUGAGCAUGCGUCCCAUUAGCUAGAUGGUAAGGUAACGGCUUACCAUGGCGACGAUGGGUAGGGGUCCUGAGAGGGAGAUCCCCCACACUGGAACUGAGACACGGACCAGACUCCUACGGGAGGCAGCAGUGAGGAAUAUUGGUCAAUGGACGCAAGUCUGAACCAGCCAUGCCGCGUGCAGGAUGACGGUCCUAUGGAUUGUAAACUGCUUUUGUACGAGAAGAAACACUGCUACGUGUAGCAGCUUGACGGUAUCGUAAGAAUAAGGAUCGGCUAACUCCGUGCCAGCAGCCGCGGUAA